UUCUUUACCAAUCUGUUUGUAUGGGAUUUUUGGUACUUCACUUGAAAAAUGAGUCCAAGGUACUGUGAUGUGAUUGUUUACUUUGUGUGGCCUUUCUAGCCAUGGUCUUAUAACAUCCACCCUGGUGCUUGGGCAGGACUGUGUGAUAGGGUAAUUGUGGCUCACCAAGGGGAUUGUUUAUUUUGCCUUCAAAGAGAACCAGUUCCAGAGCAAAGAGGAGGAUUCAACUCCCAUCAAGGAAGAACAGCCAAGAGCCGAGCGUAUAUUAUGGACCUGAGAUCCCUGCACUGAGAAGCUCCUAGAAGCAGGAGACUGAGAUAGAGAGAGGAAGCUGUAACCCUGAAGAUGCUUAAAUACAGACCAGAAGAGGAGUUUGGGGCUUGACACCUGACAUCUUAACACCAGUUCCUGUUUCUUGAGGAAGGAAGAGGUAAAAUAAAUCAGCGUUUACUGUUUCCUUCUCCAUCCCCGGAAGUCCUGAUGAAGACCCUCUCAGAGAUGCAGCACACACAGAAUCCCAGCUGGAUUACAGACUUGAACCUGAAGACCUUAUGCAGAAUGACAAUUUAUGAACCACUAAGCUCAGUACUAAAGCAGCUUAAAUACAGACCAGAAGAGGAGUUUGGGGCUUGACACCUGACAUCUUAACACCAGUUCCUGUUUCUUGAGGAAGGAAGAGGUAAAAUAAAUCAGCGUUUACUGUGUCGUUCUCCAUCCCCGGAAGUCCUGAUGAAGACCCUCUCAGCUUCUACUUGAACGUGAAUAUGAGCAACUGAUCAUCUGUUCUGAAGUCAGCCCCUGGCCUGAUUCUGACUCAUGGUAUUGACCUUCUCCAUCAUCACCUUCCACAAAUUUGAUUCCUAUCUAUUCUGCCUGGAAUGGUUCACGAGUAUAGUCACCAUUUAUGUUCCUGACGAAAGCAGGUGAAGGCAUUCGUGGAGAGAGGCAAUUUCCAUGCGUGCAGGCAAAGUGUGUGCUGAGAUGAUGAGUUGCUGGAGACCAGGGUGGACUCUUCAGACCCAGAAUAGGCCUCUGACAGGAGGAGAAGGCAUUCGUGGAGAGAGGCAGAUUCCAUGUGUGCAGGCAAAGUGUGUGCUGACAUGAUGAGACCCUGGAGACCAGGGUGGACGCUUCAGACCCAGGAUAGACCUCUGGCAGGUAUGUGUCAAUGUUUUCUGCCCAUGGCACUCACCCGGGUAUUUGCAUACAAUGUCAUCAGCGGAAUUAGUAGUCUCCGGAGAGGCUGCCACAUGUCAACAAGCUUCACCUGGCCAGAGUCCACCCGUGGUGUAGCUCCGCAAUCAGUCACUACUGUCUAGA